GCGGGCUUCGUUUUUGUGAUGGCGGUUUUUUUUUCUUUCUAAACCAUCUCAAGGAGUAUGUCCUUUCCAGCUGGACCUCAGUCUCAUUUUCUGCGGCGCUGGACGGCGAGCAGCUCCCGGGCCGGAGUGUUUCUCAGCGGUUCCCCAGGAGAAGCGGGCUCUGUCAGGGGCAGCUGCAGCUCUCCAGGUGUCAAAGUGUCUUUAGAGGACUCCUUAAGUCACUGCCUGAGUGUGGACGCCCCCUGUCCUUCAUCGUCCAGCACUGAUCCCUUCUCCGAACCCCCCACUACUGAAGUGGACAUCAGACACCUUGCUGCGAGAAACCCCCAAGCCUGGAAAUACAGUGAAACCUCGGAUUAUGAGUAACGCAGUUUACGAGUUUCCCGCAAGACGAGCAAAAAUUUUUAAUACAUUUUGACUUGGAAAACGAACAAGUCUUGGUUUACGUGCACCGAGUAUCAUGUAUCACGCAUGCGCUUGAUACAUGAAAAGAAAGAACGAAGUCUUAUGGAUCCAGCAACAGCAGUAACACCAAGACAACAAAAUCCAAGAGCCCGUCCUCCAGCAGCCCACCUGAAAACAGCAAGAAGAUGGAAAGCCUACAGGCUCAGAAUCCUACUAAAAUUCCAGCCAAGUUCUCAAGCACCACAUGCCCCACAGACUCUUAAAAGGAGCCUUGCUCAGUAGCUGGUCCACACCACAUCUCAGACAGUUUAAUUGUAUCUAAGGCAAAAAUCCAGGAUCCUCAGCUGAUCAAAAACAACACGCACUCAGUGUUGGAAAUGGACCAUUCUAGGGACAUCACCGGAAAAUCUGAACUUGAAGAGGAAGACAUCACACAUACAGAUGGCAAGAUUGAAAAGACGUUGCCUGAUGGAGGACAACUUACGGCACACGGAUAGAAGUGUCUGCCGACGGACUGUCAGUCAGAGUCGCUUUUUUCAAUGGAGCAGAUAUUGCCAGAUCAAAGAGUGGUGCGAUAUGUGGACCAGGGGACUGUCAAGAAUAUUCGAAUGUGCCAUGUGUAUCCAUUGGUGCUUUGUAAGAAUGUUCCUCAGCUGUGUGUGCCUUGCCAGAUAAAUGGAAUACUUCCUGUGAGCAAAUCUAGCUAUCUGUCUUUCUGCCUCAGUGUAGAAUUUGUUGACAUGGCAUUUGCUUCUCACCUGAUUCUCACCAGGCUUGGUGACCGUGGAGAUAAUACUGGGUGGGAUGCCACUAAACCAACUCAUGGUGCACCACCAGCACGCCACCUUCGACCCGUCUUUCGGAAACACUGAGGGCUUGGAGAAACCGCCAGCCAUUUUAAGGGUGUACACUGACCUCAGACUUCCAGACAAGGGGAUGUCCUGCUGGGUCAAAAUUAAGCACGUUCGCACCCCUAACGCGGUGUUUUUGAGUGUGUUGGAUGCAGUGGAACAGGAAGCCCCAGAGGAAGCUUUGAGCCAAGAGAACAGUGAUAUUGAUUUUUUUUUUUAUAUAUAUAUAUAUACACACAUACAUUUAUUUAUUUAUUUUUAUUUUUUUUUAAACAAGAACUAGUGUUAAUACAGCAGACUGAUAACCAAUUUGACACAUGUUUGUGUGAUGAAUGUCCAGGUUCUUAAAUUUUUUUGUAAUUUCUCCAACAUUUUUAUAAUUCUCUCAGCAAUAAAUAUAGAAGCGUCUACGUUGGAAACAAACAAGAAAUUAACUUUUGUAACAAGCGUAUUCACAAUACAAGCACAUCUGUAACAACAUGGAACAUGUUUUCUAAAAACUAACUUUUUUUCCAAACUUGGGCAAACAGUUUUAUCUUAAAGAAUUAACAUAACAUAAGGGAAAUAAUGGGAAAAAAGGACGGAAAUAAACAAAGCUAGACACUAGCUUAUACAGUGCUUUCAGCAGUUACUUUAAGGAAAAUAUGCCCACAACUUACUGGAUUAAGUAACCUACAGAAUACGGCCUCUUCACUUUUGCUGCAUUAGUAGGAGCAUCCAGCAAAGGCAUUUUUACAGACUUUAUAACUUAAAUGUAAACAACACAGGGAAACAUUUUGGUUCAACUUCCUCUUACACUAAAUCCUUUACUGUUUAUGGACAAAAGUAUGUGGACAUCCUACCAUCAAACACAAAUGUGCUUUCUAGAAAUACCUUUUGAAAACCAUGGAUUUCAAACUUUUAGCUAGUCCUCUAUGCUGGGAAAACAGCAUUCAUUAGUUACACUGUUAGGAUUUGUGCCUAUUCAGCCCCAAAAGCUGAUGUUUGGGGAAAAAAAUGCCCUGAGUGGAAUCAGAGACCAAGAGAUGCUUAGCGGGGUUAAGAUCAGGUCUCUGUGCACAUCUGUCACUCAUGCUGCUCCACACCAACCAGUGACAAACAUUAUUUCUAUUAGGGAUGCACCAAUACCACUUUUUUGGAAAACGAGUACUUGCAUUUCAGUACUCGCCGAUACUGAGUACUUAAUAAAAACAUGAUUUAAAUUUACAGAAACAGACGCGGAAUUGUUUCGCAUGUAAUAUGGCUCGUUGUGGCGUGAAACUCUCGUGCUUAAUUAAAUUACUUGUGUUAAAUGCGGUACCUUUUGAGCCUCCUCUGGACAAGUUCGCUGAGCACAAUUUGCAGUCCGCCUUUGUUUUCUUGUCUUCAUUCACUUUGAAAUAGUUCCACACGGCUGACAUGUCUCAACUAACCUUUCCCCGCUGAGCUGGGGGCGGGCUCUCGGCACCUGUGAUUAACCCCUUACACGCCGCUCAAACAUAGACAUUUUUUAGACCGUGGUAUUGGGGGACUUUUAACGAGUAUGAGUACUUUACAAAAUGUGGUAUCGAGGACGAUACCGGUAUCGGUGCAUCCCUAAUUAUUAUGUAUGUUGCUCUGUGAACAGAGGCACUGUGAUCCUGGAACAAGUUUGGGCACUUAGUUUUAGUUGAACAGGUCCAGAGCUUACAUUCUGCACUCCUACUCUGAUAUUCUGAUGACCUCCAUGAACAUUAGCUUUCGCAACAGCUUUUGUUAUUGGUGCUGAACACUUCUGAGAAAAGGAAUUUUUGUUCAAUACAGUGCUCUUACAAUGAGUUACAAUGUUUGUUGAACUUAAAGAAUUGGGAAAAGUUCGUUUUGGCUUAGAGCUCUGUUGGGAUCUGAUGGUCGAACACUGAAUGGCUGAAUGAUUGAUGCCUGUUGUGGGUUUGGUGUCUGACCAUGUUGCCCUGGCUCUGACUGAGCCUUUAAUGAAUCUGGCCAAGCCUUCCCCUCGCCUGAGAAACGGCCUCUUCACUUUUGCUGCAUUCUUGGCUGAAUGGUUGAUGCCUGUUGUGGGUUUGGUGUCUGAACAUGUUGCCCUGGCUCUGACUGAGCCUUUAAUGAUUCUGGCCAAGCCUUCCCCUCGCCUCAGAAACGACCUCUUCACCUUUGCUGCAUUAGUAGGAGCAUCCUGCAAAGCAGAAUGUAAAGGCAUUUUUACAGAUCUUAUAACUUAAAUGUAAACAACACAGGGAAACAUUUUGGUUCAACUUCCUCUUACGCUAAAUCCUUUACUGUUUAUGGACAAAAGUAUGUGGACAUCCUACCAUCAAACACAAAAGUGCUUUCUAGAAAUACCUUUUGAAAACCAUGGAUUUCAAACUUUUAGCUAGUCCUCUAUGCUGGGAAAACAGCAUUCAUUAGUUACACUGUUAGGAUUUGUGCCUAUUCAGCCCCAAAAGCUGAUGUUUGGGGGAAAAAAUGCCCUGAGUGGAAUCAGAGACCAAGAGAUGCUUAGCGGGGUUAAGAUCAGGUCUCUGUGCACAUCUGUCACUCAUGUUGCUCCACAUC